rnacentral:ribozyme from 1 species
UUACUAAUUCUAAUUUUCUUUCAUUUUAUGAAUAAAAAAAAAACACAACCGAUGGACCAACGUGCCGCGUUACACUUUGUAACACAACGGAUCGAAAAUGUUGGCGGGUAAUCCCAAUAAAAU